AUUGAACGCUGGCGGCAGGCCUCACACAUGCAAGUCGAACGAGUGGCGGACGGGUGAGUAAUGUCUGGGAAACUGCCUGAUGGAGGGGGAUAACUACUGGAAACGGUAGCUAAUACCGCAUACCAUGCGAUAUGCCCAGAUGGGAUUAGCUUGUGGGUGGGGUGACGGCUCACCAAGGCGACGAUCCCUCUCUGGUCUGAGAGGAUGACCAGCCACAAUGGACCUGAGCCACGGUCCAGACUCCUACGGGAGGCAGCAGUGGGGAAUAUUGCCCAAGGGGCGGAAGCCGGAUGAAGCCAUGCCGCGUGUAGGAAGAAGGCCUCCGGGGUGUAAAGUACUUUCAGCGGGGAGGCGUUACCCGCAGAAGAAGCACCGGCUAACUCCGUGCCAGCAGCCGCGGUAAUUC
rnacentral:rRNA from 1 species